UAACAUGUUAAAUGUGAUCAGCAUUUGAAAUACCUGCCUGCUAGACUGCCUGGGACAGGUUAUUUUCAACACAGACUGACAGAUUCUCAAAUUCACCUGCCCAAUGGUUGGGUUAAAAUGUAGACAU